GUGUAUUUCAAACCACCCUAGGUGACGUCGGGGUGAAAACGCAUGGCCAUUUCUUGCACUACUGAACAGACGCAUCCUCACCUCUAGGACGUACGGGAAGGAAAGGGAGCUCACCUCGGUGCCCCUUGGGGUUCCGGCUCGCCCGAUUUCCGGCCUGCACCUCCCCUGCCAGCCUCCCUCACCCUGCCUCACGUCCUGUGCUCCCUGUUCGCAGUGCUAGGGAGCUGACACUCUGCCCCUACGCUCCCGGAGCUAACCGAAAAGACUGGCAGAUGGUCUCGGGCCCAGGGUCGCAACUGCAAUGUGCACGGCCUGCAGCGGAGGGGAAGCGCUGGGAACCGUCGGGAGGAUGCAGCGGAUCUGAGAGGCCCACUCUGGCCGGCCUGCCUGAAUGGGACCCCACCUCCCAGGGGAUGAUGGAGCUUAGCCAGCCAGGAGGCCCACCUGGAGGGCGCAGACCUUUCUAUCUGCAGCAGAGUCCCUGGUCCCACAGGCACUGUGGUGGAAGGCUGUCCACUGAGCGUCACAGCCAUGUUUCCUCAGUGCAGGCUGUUGUUUCCCCACAGGAGAGGGCCUGGGAGGGCCAUUAGACCCUCAGCUGAGAUUCCAGAAAGUCCACCGCCAUGGCAGCUUUGCCAUCUGACUGGUGUCUGGAGGUGCUAAAGUAUAAACAGGAUGGAAAGGUAACUGAAGGGGAGAUGCCAUCAGAUGCAGCCAUAGGGAAGCCAUCAUCCAGCUGCUCUGGGGUCAUCCAUGCUCCUGUAAUAAACUCACUGGUUCAUCAA